GGCCUGGUAGCUCAGUGGUAGAGCAGAGGACUGAAAAUCCUUGUGCGUUGGUUCAAUUCCGACCCGGGCCA
rnacentral:tRNA from 22 species